CGAGCUCGAGAGUAGACCGAAGUGGACGGAAAGAACAUAAAUAGUGCACAUGUCGGCAAAGGGUGAAGAAGUGGGGGGUGGGAGGGAGGAGGAGCAGCAAUGAGUUCAAGAUGGCGGCGGUGCAGCAUGAGUAGGGUGUUCAGUUCCUGCAUGGCUCCUCCCCCACCCCUCACCGACCCCUCCCUCCCGGGGCUCACUUACCCUUCCUCUUGGCCUCUUCACUGUAGACAUUUUCUUCCUCUUUUCCUCUCCCACCCCCCCCCAGCCAAGCCUCCCUCCCUCCUUAACAAAAGCUUCUUUCGCCGGGUCGUUUCUUUUUCUUUCCCCCCCCCUCGCCGUUUUUCACACUUUUUCGCCGCUUCCGCUUGGGCCCCCCCACCCCCGCCCUCCCUCUCCUCUUCUGGUUGGCCUCCCGACCCUCCUCUUCCUCCUCCGCCGCCGCCAGCGGUCCGUCCGACUCCUCGAGGCGGGUGUGUGAGAACGCCGGAUCCGGUUCUCUCCUCCCCCUCUCCCACGCCCCCCCCCCCCUCCCACCCCCAGCAGGCAGGGCUCAAGAGGAGCGCAUGGGAGCUCCCUCACCCUCCCUCCCCCGUCAGUCCGUCUCUCUCUUACUCCCUCACCCCCCUCGCUGGUCUCUUCACUGGGUAACGCAGAGGAGGUGCGUGGCAGUCCAGGAAGCGCUCAUUCUGUCCGUCUCUCCGGUUGACCCUUCCACCCCUCGUCCGCCAGUCUCACGGAUCCCUCGUCCGUCUCGGCUCCUUCCUUUUUUCCCCCCGUGUGUGCUCGUCGUCGUCGUCCUCCUUCUUGGAUGAGAUAAGCGCUGCCCCUCGCCUCUGGUUCCAGACUGCAGCAGGCAGCGAGCGGCAGGAAAAUGAAAGCACAAAGCAGCAAAAUGCAUCAGCAUGAAUAUUAGAGAUGUCGUUAAAACCCAGACUCGUUUCUCUCUCUCUCUCUCGCUCACUCCCCUCCUCUCUCUCCACGCUCUCUCUCUCUCUUUAUAAAAGGAAGUAGGCCAGCAGAUGGUGCUAGCAGUUAUUACAUUAACUUUCACAAAUUAACCCUCCGAGUACUGGCAUCCGCCUGUUUGGCGUCCUCCUUUUUAGGACAUAUUUAGAGGUUGUUAGAGUACCAAUGAUUGUCACACACACACACACACACACACACACACACACACACACACACUAGGUGUAGUAAAAUUAUCCUCUGCAUUUGACCGAUCACCCCCUGGGAGGUGAGGGGAGCAGUGAGCAGCAGGGGCUGCGCCCGGGAAUCAUUUUGGUGAUUUAACCCUUAAUUCUAACCCUUGAUGCUGAGUGCCAUUUUUAUAGUCUCACACUAGGUGUGGUGAAAUUAUUUUCUGCAUUUGACCCAUCCCCCUUGAUCACCCCCUGGGAGGUGAGGGAAGCAGUGAGCAGCAGUGGCUGCGCCCGGGAAUGAUUUUGGUGAUUUAACCCCCAAUUACAACCCUUGAUGCUGAGUGCCAAGCAGGGAGAUAAUGCAUGAUGGCGUUCACUAAUCAAUUUUAUAAUUGUCCAUGUCCAAAUUGCGAUGCAUCUGAAAUUGGGUCCAAUUUUUAUAGUCUGACACUAGGUGUGGUGAAAUUAUCCUUUCCAUUUGACCCAGCACUUUUGAUCACCCCCUGGGAGGUGAGGGGAGCAGUGAGCAGCAGCGGUGGCUGCACCCGGGAAUAAUUUUGGUGAUUUAACCCUUAAUUCCAACCCCUUGAUGCUGUGUGCCAUUUUUAUAGCCACACACUAUAGGUGUGUUGAAAUUAUCCUCUGCAUUUGACCCAGCACCUUCGAUCACCCCCUGGGAGGUGAAGGGAGCAGUGAGCAGCAGCAGCGAUGGCCGCGCCUGGGAAUCAUUUCGGUGAUUUAACCCUUAAUUCCAACCCUUAAUGGUGAGUGCCAAGCAGGGAAGUAAUGGGUUCUAUUUUAUAGUCCCACACUAGGUGUGGUGAAUUAUCCUGUGCAUAUGACCCAUCACCCUUGAUCACCCCCUGGGAGGGGAGGGGAGCAGUGAGCAGCAGCGGUGGCCGCGCCCGGGAAUCAUUUUGGUGAUUUAACCCCCAAUUCCAACCCUUGAUACUGAGGGCCAAGCAGGGAGGUAAUGGGUCCCAUUUUUAUAGUCUUUUGUAUGACUUACACGGCCCCCUGACGCCCCUUCUCAACUGUCUAUGCGACGUCAAGGCUUGGUUGGCCCAUAUUUUUUGUAAUAAUGAAUGAGGCGAAAAACGGAAGUUUUAGUUUUUGGUUCGGACCAUUGCAAAAUGUGUCCCAAAGUCACCAGCCUUGGCGUCAUUAUUGACAAUGAUUUUAAACUUAAACAAGUCAAUGGCGCUUUAAAAUCGUGUUUUAUCAUCUUCGUCUUUUACAGCAGUGGUUCUCAACCUUUUUUCAGUGAUGUACACCCUGUGAAAAUUUUUUUAAUUCAAGUACCCCCUAAUCAGAUCAAAUAAUUUUUGGUUGAAAAAAAGAGAUAAAGAAGUAAAAUACAGCACUAUGUCAUCAGUUUCUGAUUUAUUCAAUUGUAUAACAGUGCCAAAUAUUGCUCAUUUAUAGUGGUCUUUCUUGAACUAUUUGGAAAAAAGUUAUAAAAAUAACUAAAAACAUUGUUGAAAAAUUAACAAGUGAUUCAAUUAUAAAUAAAGAUUUGUGCACAUAGCAGUAAUCAUCAACUUAAAGAGCCCUCUUUGGGGAUUGUAAUAAUGAUCCAUCUGGACUUAAUUCUAAACAUUUCUUUACGAAAAAAAAAAAUCUUUAACAGCAAUAUUUAUGGAACAUGUCCAAAAAAAAAACCUUAGCUGUGAACACUGAAUAUUGGAUUUUUGCACUUCUUUUUACAGUUCAUAUUUUGUUGAAGUAUUAUUCAAUAAAAACAUUUAUAAAGGAUUUUUGAAUUGUUGCUAUUUUUAUCCAUCCAUUUUCUACCGCUUAUUCCCUUUGGAGUCGCAGGGGGCGCUGGUGCCUAUCUCAGCUACAAUCGGGCGGAAGGCGGGGUACACCUGCUAUUUUGAGAAUAUUUUAAAAAAAUCUCACGUACCCCUUGGCAUACCUUCAAGUACCCCCAGGGGUACGCGUACCCCCAUUUGAGAACCACUGUUUUACAGGGUUCGUGGACCUUUUCCAUGGCCAAAUUCAAGCACUUUAAGGACUUUCAGGAUCAAUUUUCCAGUUUUUACAGUACCCUUCAAAAGGCGAAAACCAGUGUGAAUCAAUCAAUAGCCUUGUUGUUUGAGGUCGGCAAAUGCUGUCUGUAGGAAAAAUAUGGAAAUUCUGCUAAAUCCUAGGCCUAAUAUUGAACCAGCAGUUCUCAAUAACUGAGUGGGGCAUAGAGUAUUCAAUGUCAUUGGUGUUUGCAAAUGUUUCUCCAUUUGUGUUUUAUUCCCCCAAAUUUCUUUCUUUUUCUUACUUACAGCAGUCAAUGACGUCGGACAGUACGAAUGGAUUCACACAGUAUUUGUGCUUGUAAACUGCAUAAUGUGAUAUAGAUACACACACCCUCAAAAUGUCAAUUUUACUCAUUUGUUAACAAAACUGUUCCACAUUAAUAUAAGGAUAAUAAAUUAAAUGAAAAUAGCUGAGAUAAGCGCCAGCGACCCCAAAAGGGAAUAAGCGGUAAAAAAUGGAUGGAUGGAUAGAUACUUUCAUUAAGCAUAGCUAGCCUUAUAACUUUGGCUAUGAUAAGAAAUUAACAAAAAGUUAUAGUUAACUUUUUUUUUUUUUUUUUUUGCUGGAGGUAGCCGGACAAGUUAAGUAGACAAUGAAAAUAAUAAGAGCAAGAAAUGCAUACAACCAUGUUGUGUAAAAACUACAAAAUCAUUCAUAUUAACUCAGCUGUAAGUUGUGAAAAAAGUUACAAAUGAUACAUUACAUGACCUUCACAGUCCAAACAAGUCCAAUAAUGCAACCAUUUUAACCAAAACUACAAAAUGUGACUUGUGUGCUUAAACUGAGGUAGUCAGACAAAUUAAGUAGACAACCAAAAUAAGGGAGCAAAAAAUACCUUCACGUUGGAUUUCCUUUUUGCAUACUUUGCAGCAGGCUACAAGUGGAUUUGGUCUACGUUUUAUCAAAAGUUUGCAUUUGUCAUUUUCCAUCCAACGUACAUUAAAACGACAACCUCCCGGCAUGAUGGACCGAUGCACCAAUGUCCUCUUGGGGGUGACACACCGUAUACACGGCUCUGACGUGACAACAACCUAAUGCAAGGGUUCGUGCGAAACCAACAGAUCAGAUGUGUGCAAAGCCAACAGAUCAAGCGUGGAGCUUUAAUUUUUAAGGAAACUUAUUUAUUUUCCAUUUUAUAGUUAGCACAUUAAGUAAGACUGCCGAGAAAUAUAAUGAACAUUUACAAGCACUUCACCCAAAAUUCAAGUAUUUUUCAAACCUUGAAAACACAACAUUAAAAUCUUAGCAUUUUCAAGGUUUUUAAGUACCCAUACAAACCCUGCUUUUAGCAAAAGUAAAACCGUUUUUAUCUUUUAACCUUCUUGAGCAAGUCGUGCAUUCUUUUCUUUCAAGUCGCCUGGACUACUGCAAUGCACUUUAUGCUGGCAUUAGCCAAAAAGCUCUCUUCUGGUUGCAGUUAGUCCAGAACGCAGCGGCCUGACUUAACAGGGGCCAGAAAACGCGAGCAUAUAACCCCAAUUCUUGAGACUUUGCACUGGCUCCCUGUUCAUUUUAGAAUUGAUUUUAUUGGUUGGUGUAUUGGUUUUAAAGCUUUGCAUGGACUGGCACCUCACAUCUGGGACCUCGUCUAAAAUGACACUCCUGUGCGCGCUCUGAGGUCCAAGAGCCAGCUCCAGCUCGUGGUGCCCAAGACGAGACUUAAAACCAUGAGAGACAGGGCAUUCUCUGUGGCCGGCUCUACGUUCUGGAACACCUCAGAGCUUAGGAGUGUUUUAAGUCCCGUCUUAAGACCCACGAUUAAUCUCUGGCUUUUGAGUUGUGUGGUGUUCUGUGUUUUUACAUUUUUAUUUCAAUGUAUUGUUUUAAUUAGUUUUACCCUUUAAAAUCAUUGUUAACUAUAUCUAUUUUUGUUGUUUUAAAUUCAUUUUGUUUUUAUUCAGUCAUUGGUGGAGCUAAUGAUAGUAUUUGAUUCUUGUUUUUAAUAUUUUUGUGCAGCACUUUGGAAACAUUUUUGUUGUUUGAAUGUGCUAUAUAAAUAAAGUGGAUUGGAUUGGAUUAAACUUGA